rnacentral:rRNA from 1 species
GAUUAAGUUAUUAAGGGCGCACGGUGGAUGCCUUGGCACUAGAAGCCAAUGAAGGACGUUACUAACGACGAUAUGCUUUGGGGAGCUGUAAGUAAGCUUUGAUCCAGAGAUUUCCGAAUGGGGAAACCCAGCAUGAGUUAUGUCAUGUUAUCGAUAUGUGAAUACAUAGCAUAUCAGAAGGCACACCCGGAGAACUGAAACAUCUUAGUACCCGGAGGAAGAGAAAGAAAAUUCGAUUCCCUUAGUAGCGGCGAGCGAAACGGGAAGAGCCCAAACCAACAAGCUUGCUUGUUGGGGUUGUAGGACACUCUAUACGGAGUUACAAAGGACGACAUUAGACGAAUCAUCUGGAAAGAUGAAUCAAAGAAGGUAAUAAUCCUGUAGUCGAAAAUGUUGUCUCUCUUGAGUGGAUCCUGAGUACGACGGAGCACGUGAAAUUCCGUCGGAAUCUGGGAGGACCAUCUCCUAAGGCUAAAUACUCUCUAGUGACCGAUAGUGAACCAGUACCGUGAGGGAAAGGUGAAAAGCACCCCGGAAGGGGAGUGAAAUAGAACCUGAAACCGUGUGCUUACAAGUAGUCAGAGCCCGUUAAUGGGUGAUGGCGUGCCUUUUGUAGAAUGAACCGGCGAUUUACGAUUUGAUGCAAGGUUAAGCAGUAAAUGUGGAGCCGUAGCGAAAGCGAGUCUGAAUAGGGCGUUUAGUAUUUGGUCGUAGACCCGAAACCAGGUGAUCUACCCUUGGUCAGGUUGAAGUUCAGGUAACACUGAAUGGAGGACCGAACCGACUUACGUUGAAAAGUGAGCGGAUGAACUGAGGGUAGCGGAGAAAUUCCAAUCGAACCUGGAGAUAGCUGGUUCUCUCCGAAAUAGCUUUAGGGCUAGCCUCAAGUGAUGAUUAUUGGAGGUAGAGCACUGUUUGGACGAGGGGCCCCUCUCGGGUUACCGAAUUCAGACAAACUCCGAAUGCCAAUUAAUUUAACUUGGGAGUCAGAACAUGGGUGAUAAGGUCCGUGUUCGAAAGGGAAACAGCCCAGACCACCAGCUAAGGUCCCAAAAUAUAUGUUAAGUGGAAAAGGAUGUGGCGUUGCCCAGACAACUAGGAUGUUGGCUUAGAAGCAGCCAUCAUUUAAAGAGUGCGUAAUAGCUCACUAGUCGAGUGACACUGCGCCGAAAAUGUACCGGGGCUAAACAUAUUACCGAAGCUGUGGAUUGUCCUUUGGACAAUGGUAGGAGAGCGUUCUAAGGGCGUUGAAGCAUGAUCGUAAGGACAUGUGGAGCGCUUAGAAGUGAGAAUGCCGGUGUGAGUAGCGAAAGACGGGUGAGAAUCCCGUCCACCGAUUGACUAAGGUUUCCAGAGGAAGGCUCGUCCGCUCUGGGUUAGUCGGGUCCUAAGCUGAGGCCGACAGGCGUAGGCGAUGGAUAACAGGUUGAUAUUCCUGUACCACCUAUAAUCGUUUUAAUCGAUGGGGGGACGCAGUAGGAUAGGCGAAGCGUGCGAUUGGAUUGCACGUCUAAGCAGUAAGGCUGAGUAUUAGGCAAAUCCGGUACUCGUUAAGGCUGAGCUGUGAUGGGGAGAAGACAUUGUGUCUUCGAGUCGUUGAUUUCACACUGCCGAGAAAAGCCUCUAGAUAGAAAAUAGGUGCCCGUACCGCAAACCGACACAGGUAGUCAAGAUGAGAAUUCUAAGGUGAGCGAGCGAACUCUCGUUAAGGAACUCGGCAAAAUGACCCCGUAACUUCGGGAGAAGGGGUGCUCUUUAGGGUUAACGCCCAGAAGAGCCGCAGUGAAUAGGCCCAAGCGACUGUUUAUCAAAAACACAGGUCUCUGCUAAACCGUAAGGUGAUGUAUAGGGGCUGACGCCUGCCCGGUGCUGGAAGGUUAAGAGGAGUGGUUAGCUUCUGCGAAGCUACGAAUCGAAGCCCCAGUAAACGGCGGCCGUAACUAUAACGGUCCUAAGGUAGCGAAAUUCCUUGUCGGGUAAGUUCCGACCCGCACGAAAGGCGUAACGAUUUGGGCACUGUCUCAACGAGAGACUCGGUGAAAUCAUAGUACCUGUGAAGAUGCAGGUUACCCGCGACAGGACGGAAAGACCCCGUGGAGCUUUACUGUAGCCUGAUAUUGAAAUUCGGCACAGCUUGUACAGGAUAGGUAGGAGCCUUUGAAACGUGAGCGCUAGCUUACGUGGAGGCGCUGGUGGGAUACUACCCUAGCUGUGUUGGCUUUCUAACCCGCACCACUUAUCGUGGUGGGAGACAGUGUCAGGCGGGCAGUUUGACUGGGGCGGUCGCCUCCUAAAAGGUAACGGAGGCGCUCAAAGGUUCCCUCAGAAUGGUUGGAAAUCAUUCAUAGAGUGUAAAGGCAUAAGGGAGCUUGACUGCGAGACCUACAAGUCGAGCAGGGUCGAAAGACGGACUUAGUGAUCCGGUGGUUCCGCAUGGAAGGGCCAUCGCUCAACGGAUAAAAGCUACCCCGGGGAUAACAGGCUUAUCUCCCCCAAGAGUUCACAUCGACGGGGAGGUUUGGCACCUCGAUGUCGGCUCAUCGCAUCCUGGGGCUGUAGUCGGUCCCAAGGGUUGGGCUGUUCGCCCAUUAAAGCGGUACGCGAGCUGGGUUCAGAACGUCGUGAGACAGUUCGGUCCCUAUCCGUCGUGGGCGUAGGAAAUUUGAGAGGAGCUGUCCUUAGUACGAGAGGACCGGGAUGGACAUACCUCUGGUGUACCAGUUGUCGUGCCAACGGCAUAGCUGGGUAGCUAUGUGUGGACGGGAUAAGUGCUGAAAGCAUCUAAGCAUGAAGCCCCCCUCAAGAUGAGAUUUCCCAACUUCGGUUAUAAGAUCCCUCAAAGAUGAUGAGGUUAAUAGGUUCGAGGUGGAAGCAUGGUGACAUGUGGAGCUGACGAAUACUAAUCGAUCGAAGACUUAAUCAA